rnacentral:miRNA from 12 species
AGAUAUACAUGUGUGUUUAUAUAUACAUAUAUAUAUAUAUAUGUAUGCGUGCGUGUGUGUGUGUGUGUGUGUGUAUAUAUCUGUAUAUAACCACCUGAUUCUAUAUUUAUGC